AACGAACGCUGGCGGCAGGCUUAACACAUGCAAGUCGAGCGCCCCGCAAGGGGAGCGGCAGACGGGUGAGUAACGCGUGGGAAUCUACCCAUCUCUACGGAAUAACGCAUGGAAACGUGUGCUAAUACCGUAUACGUCCUUCGGGAGAACGAUUUAUCGGGGAUGGAUGAGCCCGCGUUGGAUUAGCUAGUUGGUGUGGUAAAGGCCUACCAAGGCGACGAUCCAUAGCUGGUCUGAGAGGAUGAUCAGCCACACAGGGACUGAGACACGGCCCAGACUCCUACGGGAGGCAGCAGUGGGGAAUAUUGGACAAUGGGCGCAAGCCUGAUCCAGCCAUACCGCGUGAGUGAUGAAGGCCCUAGGGUUGUAAAGCUCUUUCACCGGUGAAGAUAAUGACGGUAACCGGGGAAGAAGCCCCGGCUAACUUCGUGCCAGCCGCCGCAGUAACAC
rnacentral:rRNA from 1 species